rnacentral:sRNA from 1 species
UCCUAGCCCUGAUAAAAAUGGAAAUCCUUUUGAUUAAAAAACAGUACUUUUUUCUCAUAAAAAAAGAGCGACCAACGGAAGCUCCUUUUUAUAUGUAGAAAAAGACUGUUUUUAAUCAAAAGAUUGAAAUGAAUAGCAGGAAAUAGC